AGGGGGCUUAGCACUAGCCACAGGUGCGGUUACGUUUUCUUUUACCUGAGAAGGCGAAACGGUUGGAGCGGUUGCGUUUUCUUUUACCUGAGAAGGCGAAACGGUUGGAGCGGUUGCGUUUUCUUUUACCUGAGAAGGUGAAACGGUGGGAGCGGUUGCGUUUUCUUUUACCUGAGAAGGUGAAACGGUGGGAGCGGUUGCGUUUUCUUUUACCUGAGAAGGUGAAACGUUGGUAGCGGUUGCGUUUUCUUUUACCUGAGAAGGCGAAACGUUGGGAGCGGUUGCAUUUUCUUUUACUUGAGAAGGUGAAACGGUGGGAGCGGUUGCGUUUCCACCGCUGUCAAAGAUCUUAUCAACCUCAACUUCCUCAUCAUCUCCUCCACCACCAGAAGAAUCAUCCACCAGAGAAGCGUUCUUUUGUGGAAAGCUCGGUGCCAUAGCU
rnacentral:lncRNA from 1 species